rnacentral:rRNA from 1 species
UACGUAGGGACCAAGCGUUGUUCGGAUUUACUGGGCGUAAAGGGCGCGUAGGCGGCCUCCGCAAGUCAGUUGUGAAAUCUCCGAGCUUAACUCGGAAAGGUCAACUGAUACUGCGGGGCUAGAGUGCGGAAGGGGCAACUGGAAUUCUUGGUGUAGCGGUGAAAUGCGUAGAUAUCAAGAGGAACACCUGCGGCGAAGGCGGGUUGCUGGGCCGACACUGACGCUGAGGCGCGAAAGCUAGGGGAGCGAACAGG